GAUGAACGCUGGCGGCGUGCUUAACACAUGCAAGUCGAACGGAGACUUUUUCAGUGCAACCUUCGGGGAGCAAGAGAAAGUCUUAGUGGCGGACGGGUGAGUAACGCGUGGGCAACCUGCCUCGCACCGUGGGAUAACAGGGGGAAGCUCCUGCUAAUACCGCAUAAAGUGUAUAGACGCAUGUCAAUAUACAAAAAGGGAUACCGGUGAGAGAUGGGCCCGCGUCCGAUUAGAUAGUUGGCAGGAUAGCAGCCUACCAAGUCAACGAUCGGUAGCCGGCUUGAGAGAGUGGACGGCCACACUGGGACUGAGACACGGCCCAGACUCCUACGGGAGGCAGCAGUGGGGAAUAUUGGACAAUGGGGGCAACCCUGAUCCAGCGACGCUGCGUGAGUGAAGAAGUAUCUCGGUACGUAAAGCUCUAUCAGCAGGGAAGAAAAAAGACGGUACCUGACUAGAG
rnacentral:rRNA from 1 species